rnacentral:rRNA from 1 species
CCUACGGGUGACAGCAGUGAGGAAUAUUGGUCAAUGGCCGUAAGGCUGAACCAGCCAAGUCGCGUGAAGGAAGAAGGAUCUAUGGUUUGUAAACUUCUUUUAUAGGGGAAUAAAGGUAUCCACGUGUGGCUUUUUGCAUGUACCCUAUGAAUAAGCAUCGGCUAACUCCGUGCCAGCAGCCGCGGUAAUACGGAGGAUGCGAGCGUUAUCCGGAUUUAUUGGGUUUAAAGGGUGCGUAGGUGGUUUUUUAAGUCAGAGGUGAAAGUUUGUGGCUCAACCCUGGAAUUGCCGUUGAAACUGGAAGGCGUGAGUGUGUUUGAGGUAGGCAGAAUGCGUGGUGUAGCGGUGAAAUGCAGAGAUAUCACGCAGAACACCGAUUGCGAAGGCAGCUUACUAAGCCAUAACUGACGCUGAAGCACGAAAGCGUGGGGAUCAAACAGGAUUAGAUACCCCUGUAGUC